UACGUAAGGUGCGAGCGUUAAUCGGAAUUACUGGGCGUAAAGCGUGCGCAGGCGGCGCGUUAAGACAGGUGUGAAAGCCCCGAGCUUAACUUGGGAAUUGCGCUUGUGACUGGCGUGCUGGAGUGUGGCAGAGGGAGGUGGAAUUCCACGUGUAGCAGUGAAAUGCGUAGAGAUGUGGAGGAACACCGAUGGCGAAGGCAGCCUCCUGGGCCAGCACUGACGCUCAUGCACGAAAGCGUGGGGAGCAAACAGG
rnacentral:rRNA from 1 species